UGGGGAAUUUUGGACAAUGGGCGAAAGCCUGAUCCAGCAAUGCCGCGUGUGUGAAGAAGGCCUUCGGGUUGUAAAGCACUUUUGUCCGGAAAGAAAUCCUUGGCUCUAAUACAGUCGGGGGAUGACGGUACCGGAAGAAUAAGCACCGGCUAACUACGUGCCAGCAGCCGCGGUAAUACGUAGGGUGCAAGCGUUAAUCGGAAUUACUGGGCGUAAAGCGUGCGCAGGCGGUUUGCUAAGACCGAUGUGAAAUCCCCGGGCUCAACCUGGGAACUGCAUUGGUGACUGGCAGGCUAGAGUAUGGCAGAGGGGGGUAGAAUUCCACGUGUAGCAGUGAAAUGCGUAGAGAUGUGGAGGAAUACCGAUGGCGAAGGCAGCCCCCUGGGCCAAUACUGACGCUCAUGCACGAAAGCGUGGGGAGCAAACAGGAUUAGAUACCCCUGGUAGUCCACGCCCUAAACGAUGUCAACUAGUUGUUGGGGGAUUCAUUUCCUUAGUAACGUAGCUAACGCGUGAAGUUGACCGCCUGGGGGAGUACGGUCGCAAGAUUAAAACUUAAAGGAAUUGACGGGGUCAUAGCUGUUUCCU
rnacentral:rRNA from 1 species